rnacentral:misc_RNA from 1 species
UGACACGCAAGCGAUCGGUUCCAUCUAUUUCUUUAUCUCCCCGUGAAUUGUAUGUUUGUAACAAUAGCGACAGAAUUUUCUCAAUUCCAAUCGACUAGGCGUAUUGUGUCGAUUCUUUUGAGUAAUAUAUCUGGAAAUACCUGUUGAUUUCUUAUUAACACUGUUUCGAGCACAAGUGGUACAUUCUAAAAUAACUCUUAUUCGGAUAUCCUUACCCUUGGCCAUGAACCUCCUUGGGAUUUUUUAUUCACUCAAUUCUUCUAUUUUCCGAUCCGAAGUGAAAAAGAAAGGAACGACAAAAAUAGAAGUUGCUAAUUCGAAAUCAAAUUAUGAAAGAUUUCAU